AUUUUCCCAACUGCUAAUGUUUCUAAACUGGCUUUAUAUGUUCCCAGGGACAACAAUCAAGCCCAGUCCAAUAGGUCAGCAAACUAGAAGUCUGAAGCUGGGACAAGUAAAUUUUGGUUGGUGCCCUAAGAAGAGCCACAUCUGGAUUGUGGAAUAAGGACAAGAAGGAAGGGCCAAGCAAGAAGACCAAAGAGCCUGUCUCUGCAGAGCUGGGAAGCGGGGCAGCUGCCUGAUCCUGAUGUGGAGCCAAGAGACCGCACUACACGCUUGUGGGAAAGACCUUGAGCUGGGAUCUGGAGCCCCAGGUUUCAGGCCAACUGGGCUACUGAGUCGCCUAGAGCACAUCACGCUUGUCAGGGCAUCAUUUUCUCUCUGUAUGAAAAGGAUUUGGGGGAUCUGACAUCUAAGAUACUCUCAGGCUCUAACAAGCUUGAGUCAUCUUUGGGGGUCAGUAGGUCUGCGUGUGCUUCCAUGUGACAAUGAGAGCUAAAUAAACGUCAGCUCCUUCCAGCCUCAUCAACAUCAUCAUCUCGGCUGUGACUCAGAUCAUCCACACAUGAUGAGUAAACAGUGCCCUUUGCACUGUGCUGCAUGAAGCCGAGCGUGGGGGCGGUGGUCACAGUCGAGGCUGCCUGCCUGCC
rnacentral:lncRNA from 10 species